rnacentral:rRNA from 1 species
CUGCAGAGAUGUGGCUUUCUUUGGACUGGUGCACAGGUGGUGCAUGGUUGUCGUCAGCUCGUGUCGUGAGAUGUUGGGUUAAGUCCCGCAACGAGCGCAACCCUCGUUCUAUGUUGCCAGCACGUGAUGGUGGGGACUCAUAGGAGACUGCCGGGGUCAACUCGGAGGAAGGUGGGGACGACGUCAAAUCAUCAUGCCCCUUAUGUCUUGGGCUUCAAGCAUGCUACAAUGGUCGGUACAAUGGGUUGCGAAACUGUGAGGUGGAGCGAAUCCCAAAAAGCCGGCCUCAGUUCGGAUUGGGGUCUGCAACUCGACCCCAUGAAGUCGGAGUCGCUAGUAAUCGCAGAUCAGCAACGCUGCGGUGAAUACGUUCCCGGGCCUUGUACACACCGCCCGUCAAGUCACGAAAGUCGGUAACACCCGAAGCCAGUGGCCCAUCCUCGUGAGGGAGCUGUCGAAG